CGGGCACGAGGGCUCCUUGUAGAGGAUAUUAUAAGGGUCCAAGGUGGGAGACACUUGGCUGAGGUCCAUUCCAAUCACUUGAUGCCUUGAUGCUGGAGAGCUUUGAGCAGUUUCCUUGGCGGUGUUGGGGCAGCAAGGGAACAGUCUGGGGCAGAGCCUGUGCCUCAGUCUUCUCAUCUCUUAACUGGGGAGGGUCAUGUAAUACCCAACCCCAGGUGCUUGUGACGAUUAACUGGGGUGGGCAGUGCUUAACAUAAUGCCUGGGAACGAGGACUGGUGGGCCUAGCUGUGCCCCACCCUCCAGCCACAUCCAAGCCCCAGCACAGCAAGGUGCUCCCAGAUGCCACUCCAGCCCCUGGUCAGAGCGCAGCUGUCCAGGAAGCAAGCUCAGUCUAGAGUGCCACUCCUUCGACGACCAGACCCCAACACAAGCCUGAUGUAGAAGCCACUUGCUUCAGGUAGCUCUAAAUGUACUGUCUCAUACCAUGGCUUAAAAAAAAAAAAUCCAGGAUGAGUUAAAAGUGUUCGUGGUUUCAUCACCUAGCCAAGGUUAAUGUCUGGGUCUUCCGUUUCUAGCCAGAGAACUGGAAACAAAUCACUGUUUUGCUAGGAGCUUUGCAUGACCUCACGCCCUAGGCUGCCGGGUCCUGGGCUGUCCUGAUGGGCUGUGAAAUCCCACCCACUCCCAGGGCUGCCGGGUCCUGGGCUGUCCUGAUGGGCUGUGAAAUCCCACCCACUCCCCUCCCCGCGAGGCAAGGACAGCCUCUGCCCUGCCUGCCUGGGAGCACGGUAUGGGCUUGCCUAGGCCUCAGUGUCUUAACACUGUGGUGACUCAAAUUCCUUGUUUUACC
rnacentral:lncRNA from 10 species